rnacentral:lncRNA from 1 species
AACGCCUGAACCGCAGCGGCCAGGCGUUCCUCCAGAACCUCCUCCCCAGGAGCUCGCUACAAGUGCCAGAAAUCUGACCACCAAGCCAAGGAAUGCCUGCAGCCCAGGAUUCCUCCUAAGCCGUGUCCCAUCUGUGCAGGACCCCACUGGAAAUCGGACUGUUCAACUCACCUGGCAGCCACUCACAGAGCCCGUGGAACUCUGGCCCAAGGCUCUCUGACUCCUUCUCGGCUUAGCGGCUAAAGACUGACACUGCCCGAUCGCCUCGGAAGCCCCGUAGACCAUCACGGACGCCGAGCUUUAGAUGAAGAAACUGAGGUCCAGAGAAGUUAAACGACCUUCCUAAGAUUACACAGCUUAGUAAGUGGCAGAACCACAGCUGGAAGCCAGGUCCUUCCUCACGCAAGUCCUGGCUCAUUCAUUCCUCUUCCAAAGACUUGCUGAGCACCUUCUAGGUGCCAGAUGCGGUGCUGGCUCCUGGGGACAUGGGAGUGAACAGGCCAGGCGUGGCCCUGAACCAUCAAAUAGACAACCACAGAAAUAACAACAACAAAGACAAAACCGGGCCCUUCCACACAGUAGCUGGAACACAAAGGAAGAUCAGCCAAGCCUCAACAUAAUCUCAUAAAAAUUCUUCAAAUAUCCCAUUGUUAUGGAUUCAUACAUCAGGAAAGCAGAUGCCAAGAACCUGAACACCUUCUACUGGUAACAUAUAUUUUGGCGAGCCAGCCUGGAGACAAGACCACUAUGGGCAACUUCCUGUCUAUUCUACCUGGUGUCACUGUGGACAACUUCCUAUCUAUUCCACCCGAUUCACCGCUUGGCUACAUCCUCCACCAUUGGGAUGAAUUUGACCCUAACAAUCUAAAGAAAAGGCAUAUGAUUUUUUACUGCAAUAUUGUUUGACACAAUUAUGAGCUGCCCAAU